rnacentral:rRNA from 1 species
AGAGGGGGCAAGCGUUAUUCGGAAUUAUUGGGCGUAAAGGGCGCGUAGGCGGCUUGGCAAGUGGAAGGUGAAAUCCCUCGGCUUAACCGAGGAACUGCCUUCCAGACUGCUUUGCUUGAGGCCGGGAGAGGUGAGUGGAAUUCCCAGUGUAGCGGUGAAAUGCGUAGAUAUUGGGAGGAACACCAGUGGCGAAGGCGGCUCACUGGACCGGUUCUGACGCUGAGGCGCGAAAGCGUGGGGAGCAAACGGGAUUAGAUACCCCGGUAGUCCACGCCGUAAACGAUGAGUGCUUGGUGUAGCGGGUAUCGACCCCUGCUGUGCCGAAGUCAACACAUUAAGCACUCCGCCUGGGGAGUACGGUCGCAAGGCUG